GACGAACGCUGGCGGCGUGCCUAAUACAUGCAAGUCGAACGAGAGCGCCCGGUGCUUGCACUGGUCAAUCUAGUGGCGAACGGGUGAGUAACACGUGGGUAACCUGCCCAUCAGAGGGGGAUAACAUCCGGAAACGGAUGCUAAAACCGCAUAGGUCUUCGAACCGCAUGGUUUGAAGAGGAAAAGAGGCGCAAGCUUCUGCUGAUGGAUGGACCCGCGGUGCAUUAGCUAGUUGGUGAGGUAACGACUCACCAAGGCCGUGAUGCAUAGCCGACCUGAGAGGGUGAUCGGCCACAUUGGGACUGAGACACGGCCCAAACUCCUACGGGAGGCAGCAGUAGGGAAUCUUCCGCAAUGGACGCAAGUCUGACGGAGCAACGCCGCGUGAGUGAAGAAGGUUUUCGGAUCGUAAAACUCUGUUGUUAGAGAAGAACAAGUGCUAGAGUAACUGUUAGCGCCUUGACGGUAUCUAACCAGAAAGCCACGGCUAACUACGUG
rnacentral:rRNA from 1 species